CAAAAUAUACUCCAAGCAGCAAACGAGGCAUAUUAUGAGUUAAACAACUGGCCUUCUCCCUCGUGAAAAUAAAAUCAUGCAUAUGAUCUCUCAUUUAACAUGUAAGGUUCAAAUCCCAUGGCAUGUGUGAAAUAUUAUUACAAGACUUUUUUUUUUUCUUUUUCAGAUAGAUAGACUAGAUCUUUAUAAACGAUUGAUGUGUAUGUGUGUUUUUCUUUUACUAACACAAGUUUAUUGUAAAUCUUGUGUAUAUUUUUCAACUUGAUACACUUUUUCUUUACCACUUUUAAUCUAACUUAAGUUUGGAGGGAUUUAAAUUCAGUACAGCAAGAAGCAAAUUUAAUUCAUUGGAUAGAAAUCAUAUGAUUCCCAAUUCAAAACUCGAAAUUUCAUUGGUUCAAUCUUCAUCGGCAGCUAAAAUGGUUGACCGUUUGACCGGAUUAAAUCUAAUUUUGAUUUGGUAACAAAAUCAAACAAUUUUGUUUGAAAUCACAUAUGUAUCGAUAUUUCACAUUGAUAAGAGGCAAAAUCAAUUAUGAUCCUUUUCUCACCAUAUAAUAAAAUACACGAUCAUACUUUAUUUAGAAAUAAAAGUUGGAGUAUUUGACUUACAAAACAAUAGCUUUUGAUAUGAGCUUUUUACAUACAACAAAAUUCUUAAAAUGAAAAUUUGAAACCAAAAGCUCUAACUUUUUUGUUUUUUUGUUGCUAAUCAUCAAAUGGAUAUUGUUCAUACCUGAUUGAACAAUCAUGAAUCACAGAACGAGCCCCUAUCCUUUUUGUCUGACAAGUACUGAAAAUGUCUGAUUUAGCAACACCAAGACAUGUUUUACAAUCAGAGGAUGUCAAAUUAAGGUUGCAAGUAGCAUGUCCAUAAGCAAAUGAAUUAGGAUAAGGUGAAAUGUUGUGAUAGUCAUAAUUUUUUUGUGAUGGAGUUUCAUUCUCUAAAUCUUGAAGAACAUAGCUUAAACUAAUACCAAAAGGAUCACCUGAGGUGUACACUCCACUGUUGCAUAGAACUUGGAUGAUGUUUGUAUUUGGAACACUCUCAGCUGAACUCCAUAGACACAACAAAAUAAUCACAAUUGUUACAUGUUUUGGAGGAUUGUCCAUAUUCCUAUGAUGUUUGAUUGAAUUCAUUGUGCUACUAAAGGGUUUGUGUGUGAGGCUCAUCUACCUAAUCUAUUGUGUUGGUUUUAUUUAUCCACUACAUUUAUCUAUGAAAUAUUCAAUACCAAGCUUUUGUCUUUUGUUCGUUGAAACAAUACUAUGUUAUGGAUAAUUUAGAGUCCAUUUGUUGAUUUUUCUAGGGAAAAAAAUCACCUUUU
rnacentral:lncRNA from 1 species